rnacentral:rRNA from 1 species
AGGAAUAUUGGUCAAUGGGCGAGAGCCUGAACCAGCCAAGUAGCGUGAAGGAUGAAGGUCCUACGGAUUGUAAACUUCUUUUAUACGGGAAUAAAGUAUCCUACGUGUAGGAUUUUGUAUGUACCGUAUGAAUAAGCAUCGGCUAACUCCGUGCCAGCAGCCGCGGUAAUACGGAGGAUGCGAGCGUUAUCCGGAUUUAUUGGGUUUAAAGGGAGCGCAGACGGGAGAUUAAGUCAGUUGUGAAAGUUUGCGGCUCAACCGUAAAAUUGCAGUUGAUACUGGUUUCCUUGAGUGCAGUUGAGGCAGGCGGAAUUCGUGGUGUAGCGGUGAAAUGCUUAGAUAUCACGAAGAACCCCGAUUGCGAAGGCAGCUUGCUAAACUGUAACUGACGUUCAUGCUCGAAAGUGUGGGUAUCAAACAGGAUUAGAUACCCUGGUAGUCCGCACGGUAAACGAUGGAUACUCGCUGUUGGCGAUAGACGGUCAGCGGCCAAGCGAAAGCGUUAAGUAUCCCACCUGGGGAGUACGCCGGCAACGGUGAAACUCAAAGGAAUUGACGGGGGCCCGCACAAGCGGAGGAACAUGUGGUUUAAUUCGAUGAUACGCGAGGAACCUUACCCGGGCUUGAACUGCAGUGGAAUUAUCCGGAAACGGAUAAGCGAGCAAUCGCCGCUGUGGAGGUGCUGCAUGGUUGUCGUCAGCUCGUGCCGUGAGGUGUCGGCUUAAGUGCCAUAACGAGCGCAACCCUUGCUGCCAGUUACUAACAGGUCAUGCUGAGGACUCUGGCAGGACUGCCAUCGUAAGAUGCGAGGAAGGUGGGGAUGACGUCAAAUCAGCACGGCCCUUACGUCCGGGGCUACACACGUGUUACAAUGGGGAGUACAGAGGGCAGCUACCGGGCGACCGGAUGCGAAUCCCGAAAGCUCCUCUCAGUUCGGACUGGAGUCUGCAACCCGACUCCACGAAGCUGGAUUCGCUAGUAAUCGCGCAUCAGCCAUGGCGCGGUGAAUACGUUCCCG